GUUGGGUUGUAGCGGUCAGCCUUUGGUUAGCACUGCUAUGUGUCUACCUUCCUGCCGGGGAAGAGCUCCUGGGCUUAACUGUCCGGGACUCGGAAUCGGCGAGGUUACUUUGAGUAAAUUAAGUGUUCAAAGCAAGCCUACGCUCUGAAUACAUUACAUGGAAUAACACGAUAGGACUCUGGCUUAUCUUGUUGGUCUGUAAGACCGGAGUAAUGAUUAAGAGGGACAGUCGGGGGCAUUCGUAUUUUCCCAUUGUCAGAGGGUGAAAUUCUUGGAUUUAUGAAAGACGAACUUCUGCGAAAGCAUUUGCCAAGGAUGUUUUCAUUAAUCAAGAACGAAAGUUGGGGGCUCGAAGACGAUUAGAUACCGUCGUAGUCUCAACCAUAAACGAUGCCGACUA
rnacentral:rRNA from 1 species